ensembl:lncRNA
UGAGAGAUGGAGAGGAGUUGACUACUACCACUUCAACUAACACUCUGGGAUGGAGAGAUGGAGAGGAGUUGACUACUACCACUUCAACUAACACUCUGGGAUGGAGAGAUGGAGAGGAGUUGACUACUACCACUUCAACUAACACUCUGGGAUGUAGAGAUGGAGAGGAGUUGACUACUACCACUUCAACUAACACUCUGAGAUGUAGAGAUGAUGGGAUGGAGAGACAGAGGGAGGGGAGGGAGGGGGAGUCUGGUAGAUGGUAAUUGAGUGUUUGAGGGUUGGAUGCUGAGAAGGACUAUGACAGUCACCUGGUGCGCCUGCCUGCCUGCUAUCUAGUUAGUGUAAUAUGUGUGGCAGCAUGUCCAUGUUGAUCGUGGAGAUAAAUCACAAAUACAAACGUUUCCAUCAUGUCCUCUGAAAGAGACUUUCCAGAAAUAUGUUGUGCUGUCCAAUCUCACACACACACACACACUAUACACACACACACACACACACACACACACACACACACACACUAUACACACACUACACACACUAUACACACACACUCCCAUAUUUGUUUUUCUUUCCACAAGUCUCUUAUAAAACCUCAGGAACAAUGAUGUAUUUUAGAGUACUAUGCUCUGACACACACUACACACACACACACACACCAUGCCCAGUAAGGGCAUUCGUUUUCCCACACAGAGCUCUUGAGUUUCACUGUUGAAAGGUCAACAAACCUUACCACCAACACCAAUGCUAUGGUAUUUCAACAGAAACCCCCUGGAACUCUGACCACAGCUAGCUACACAUGGGAUUCUGGGUAGUGAUAUAGUGGCAAAACAAAUAGGUGGGUAGAAGCCGAUCACAGAGCGAUUUAAAGUAACGCUCCCUGUAUUUUCUGUUCUCCUCAAAAGGUAGGGAGAAAAUCCCGCAAAAUCAAAAAAGAUGGUGUGUAACCUGGGAAACCUCUCUCAUGGUUACCAUAGUGACAGGCUAGCUGAGCCCAGUACAGAGCUGGAGAAAACUAGCACCUCCAGUUAACACAUGGUCUCCACGUCUAACCCCCGACACACACACCCUCCCUGACCUGUCCACUCUCUCCCCGAGGACUGUUUACAUUCUGACUGGAGCAGAACACUGAUUCCUCUGAUUCACUAGAGGCUUUCUAUCUAAAUCACCAGGGUUACAACAGAACACUGAUUCCUCUGAUUCACUAGAGGCUUUAUAUCUAAAUCACCAGGGUUACAACAGAACACUGAUUCCUCUGAUUCACUAGAGGCUUUAUAUCUAAAUCACCAGGGUUACAACAGAAC